CAUUGACAGGGCGCUAUUUUCAGGGAACAUCCAGUGCCCUGUCCCGGCCAAAAGAAUUGUGUGGGAGCCCCAAAUCGCCCUCCUGGACCCCCAAGUGCUGGUGACACAGCCCAGGCUGAGACAUUGCCUGAUGAUGCUCAGUUUUGGGGUGGAAGAGUUCUCUGCUCUGGAGAAGGAGGACAGAGGGGAAAAGCUCAUGGGACAUCAUUCAUGGAGUAAAUUGAGCAUCAGAGGGAGAAAAUAUUCCCUGUUCACCCAGCUUGUUCCCUGCGUGGUGAAGAUGAACCAUCAGCUGGGUUUGUGAUUAUCCUCUUGGAAAUAAAAAGGCAAA